rnacentral:lncRNA from 1 species
AUAUUUUCUGUCAGAUUCAUCAACAUCGUUGUGAAAAUGUCUUAAAUGGACAAUUCUUCUAGAAGACAAUUAAAAUAAGACAGAAAAGAUGGGCAACCGCUGAAAAUUAAGUUAAGCUCCACAGGAGCUUGGUGAGAAGGCCCUGUGACCACAUUCCUCCCCCCAGCAGCCUGCAAGCUCCACGCAACCUUCAUCACUUUGGGGUGAGCUCUCUGCUGCUGGAUUCCCUGCCUGGGGCUGUCUCCUCCAGCUGGUGUCAGUUUCCCCCAGCCAAGGCCUGCUGUCAUUCCCCAGAGCACCUCCCACCCUGCCUCCUGCUACGGAGUAAUGUCUUCAAAGUACACAGUAACAUGGUUUCCAGCAGAACAUAGGCAAAGCAAAAGUUUACAGGAUUCAUCAUUAGGAGAGAGGGAAGCUGAAGAAGGAAAUUGUAAAAGGAAAACAUUAAACAUUCCCUGAGUGAAAGGUAGGGGAACCCCACUCACUUAGGGAACAGCUGCACCACCUCUCCAGACUCUGGCUCAGUCCAGAAAAAUUCCAUGAGUGAGGGGGGCAUGAAGGCAUGGCCCACAGUACUUUAACUGUGGUGGCUGUCCCUGGCUUGCCCACUCUCUUGCUGUCCAAUCACAUGCAGUUCAAUUCUCCCGAGAAAACUGCAGGCGCGAUGGUUCUCCACUGAUUGUCUUUGUUGCAGUCCUUGAACUCUCAAGGUUGCAGAAGUUGCUAGGGUUCUAACUGUCGAAGUGAAUCGUGCUCCUCAGUGUCGAGGGUCAGCGUGCACUGUUUCUUUCAUGGAACACGAUUAACAACUAAAACAAAGGAAAGAUCAGACCGGGUGUGCGGCUCAGGUGACAACGGUGUUCCUGUUCAGGCCAGUUUCCUGCUCUUCCUACCAAACUGGUCAAAGCAAUUAAAUGUGUGAACUGUGUUAUUUAUGAGUUUCCAGGGCUGUAAAAGUCAUGUCUGUGCUAAGAGACCAAAAAUACAUAUGCCUUGAACACCACAGCAAACACCCUCUUCUGUCAAACAAACAGAUAUUCUCUUCUCCAAAAUCAAAACCUCCACCAACUCAGAAAGUUAGCACAGGACGGAUUUCUCGCAGAGAGUGCCUCUCUAGGCAGGUGAGCCGUGCAUGGGGCCCAGCGACAGUUGCCGAUUGUGAUUUAUUAGUGGAGGAAAAUUUGGAAUUGGACUUUACCGUUGGGAUUUACUUGCAUUUGAAAGCAAUGCAGUUAGCAGUCCAUCUUUCAACACUGAAUGUAUUUUCUCUGCUUUUAUAUCUUUCUGAUGAAUUAAGCACUUAUGUGAGGUGAGGGAUUGAAAACACUAGCAGCCUAAUCUCUCAGUAGAUCUGCUUGCCAGAUAACAGCUGUAUGGAAAAACACGGGGACCAAUUUUACAUUGUUUCUCCACCAAUUCAUACCAGCCGUGAACUGUGAUGCUCCCCCCAAUUCUACAAUGGGCAGAUAAUGAGAGUUCCUUGCCCUCCAGUUCUCCAAGCCGUUUCGAAGAAGACCUGCUAAUUGAAUUCAGUUGUUUGCAGUUUUAAAUGUUCAUGCUUUCCACAAAACAAGAAUAUAUUAAACUCAUUUCAUCUGUCAUCCAAGAAGAAUUGGAGCCUGCAUUUUUAUUACCAACUGACUUGUGUGUUCAUCUUUAUCCCAGAUUUUUUUUGAAAUGUUUACAAUGUAAUUAAAAACAAUCAAGUCAAAUGAUGUAUUUGAAUUGUUCCCUUUGGGAGAAGAUAAAGGAGAAAAUAUAGCUACAAUUGCUUCAUUUUUGCUGAGUAUUUCUGCCUUCUCAACAGAAAUACAUCAUGUAUCUGCUCACCUAGAGCGUUUUGUAAUGUCACUGGUGAUUUAACAAUUACAAAAUAUUGUAAUUAAA